CCGCUGCCACAGUUUCUGCAACAAUUUCUGGCAUGUUGGCAUAUUGGCCAGGAAGCCGACAACCAAGCUGGGCCCUUGUGCCACCGUUGUCAGGGAAUUGGGGAAGGCCGAGGUCGCCAGCCCAGUGAGAGGCAGAUAGCACAUGCCCGGCCAUUUUGCAGGAUCUUAACUCUCACUUGGGCCAUCCCGACCUGACUCACACCGCUUCCCAAAGGGACUAAGAAGGAAGAAGGGAAACAGGUUCCAGGAUGGGGCGCCAGACUGGCUCAAGGAAGCCUGGGAGAGUGUGUAUCUGGCAUUUUCAUCUUCAGGAGUGGAGACCUGUCUACCUCAUAAUUUGAAAGAUCCAUCUACAGCAGGUCAGCAUAAGCUGCUCUAAAGAGACUGCUAUAAACCGUGACCUUGGAACAUCUCCCUCUUGCAGCACUUUUGGUUGGGUGAUCAAGCAUCCACCUCCACUUAUCUUCUCUUGUCUUCUCUCCACAAGUGAGACUGGAAAAAAUUCAUCUCUUGUCUGGUUUCUCACAUGGACAAGUCUGGCCAUAGAUGUUAGCCAACGAAGCAUAGCCUCAGGUUUCUAGGAAAGAGAGGAGAGAGUGCUCUGACCUUCGGCUCCUCUUCUGCCUCAUACCCAUGCAUUGCUGACAUUCCAUCUGGAGCUGUAGAUCCCAUUUUGACAUCAUGAGAAGAAAGAUGUGAGACUAAAGGGCAGCCGAAGUAAGAAGGAUGAUGCUACAUCCCUGGCGGUGUUCAUGAGCCAUUGAACCGAUGUUACCACCCAUCCCAUCACCUCCAGACGUCUUGUUAUAAAAGGCAAAUGAAACCCUAUUCGACUAAGCCAUCUUUGGAUAGAGUUAAGGUAACUUACAGCCAAUCUUCUACUACAUGUGGCAUCUCAAAAUAGAUACUCACCCAAGGCAACAGCACAGGGGUGAAGCACCCCAAGAGGUAGUUUCUCUGAGCUAUUCCUCCACCUCCAUCUCAGCACUCAGCCUGAAGCUGCUGCCCAAAGAACAACAGCCCUUGUGACCUAGAAGGAAACAAGGAGCUCUUUGCCCCCACAGUCCUGGAAGCUGGGUCAGAGCUGGAAAUGUAGAGUCACAGAAAGCAAUGGUGUGACAUGUAAGGUGCUAAGAGACAGAGGGAGCUUGCAGAAUGCCUUGGCGCUCUUCAAGGAAGAUCUGGAAGGGAAGAGUGGAUUAAGCAUAAGUGAUGAGGAUCAGCCUGUGAUGUAUCUUUUCAUCAGCGUGUCCCCAACCAGAUGCUCAGACAAGUGUACUCUGGGGUGUACUUAUUACAGGAAAGGCAUGAAACAAUUUGAAAUGCUACUGCCUUAAGGAAGGGUUGGCUGUCUCCAUGUCAUGGAGCAAGGCCAGUCAAGACUUAGCAAAGCAGUGCCCGUAUAAAAAUUACGAAACUAAAUUCUGCAAAGCAUAAGUGGUUACCAAAAUGGUAUCUAAAACCCUGGAAUGAACUUGCGUCCAACAGAGCCUUCACAGAGCACUGGGUAAAGGGCUUAAUGUUAAUGAAA
rnacentral:lncRNA from 1 species